GCUCAUUUCUUUCUUCUUCUCUCUAUACGUUGGUGUUCUAACCAAUAAUCACCGAUGCGAUGUUCUGUCCGAUCGAUUCAUGAACCAACUAACGGAUGCCAAAGUAUUGUAUUUUGUGAGUUCGUUAAAACGGAUGCCAAAAUGCUGUCUAAACAAGACUAUACUUUGUGAAUUUCGUUAAGGUUCGAAUCUCGUGACUACCGUUAAGGUUUGAUUUGGGUUAUACACAAAUACGUAUUCCAUUCUGUUAAACUAUAUGUUUAACUAUUGAAAAUACUCCCCACUACACACUCACAAUCAAACAAACUAUUAAAUCAUCAGAAGAUCCAGAAUAAUAAAGUGCAUGCUUAAUUAUCGGAAGAAGUAGAAUCAAGAAGUUUGUUAACUCAAUCUUGCAUGCUUAUAAACCAGUAUGUGGGGUAUUGUGCACAUUACUACUGUUUUAAUCACAUUAGGUGGGCGAACCUAAAAUUAAGUGAUAUACGUCAUUCAUUGGGGCAGCCAAUGGUGAUAUGACCACAGUCACAGAUACGGUCGAGUGACAAAUACUGUGGGUAGUUGGUUGAUAUCUGAAACAUAUGUAAAAACUCUUAAUACUGUAAUUUAUAACAAACGAGUCGUUUUAGUAAAACUGAAUGAACUCACUCAGUAUUUCCCGCUGACAAAACCUUUUUAAAACGCGUUUCAGGUAAUUACAGUAGAUUGGAGUAAGGAUUGGAUCCGGCACUAAAAGACUUCAAGAAGUGGCUUAUUUUAUUAAUUAAAUCAAAUUAAGAAAUAUUGUUUUUAUUAAAAGCUACCUUUGUAAAACAUGGAAUUUAUUCCAUCUAUUUAAAUAAAAUCCGGUGUUUCUAAACUCUGAUAUUUUUCCUAACUCGCGGUCCUGAUGAAAUUUCCGCUGCAAUGUUUUUCAAAAUAAUCACCGGUACCACUGGACUGCUCACGUCACCGAUUCCGGCCAGAUGGGGUCGGGGGACGUGACAGAAGGUGGUAUCAGAGCUAAGCCACUACUUUAAGCCUAUAAGUGUUGUGAUAAUAAUACUUAAGCUUAAAAAAAAAAGAGUUAGGAGAUUAGUGUUAAAUGGUAGCACAACCGAUAGCAGUUAGAUUUGAACAUAAGAAAAGAUGCCUUAGUAUAAGCUAAGCCACUUGUUUACGCAAUUAGGUGUUAUAAUAAUACCUAAGUUUAAACGAAGAAUUAGAAACUUAAUAUUAUCUGAUAGCACUCUGAAUGAUAUUUAGACUUGAACUUAAGAAUUUUGCCUUAAUAUAAGCUUCAAGAUAAAAUUACUUGUAUAAGUAUAAUGUAAUGGAUAGUGAUAUGCUAUAAGAAUGACGGUUAGCAGGUAAUAGCACUUAAUUGCUAUUAAUUCUUGCUUAUUGAUAUUACUUGGUUUAGAAUAAAGAUAUGUUAUGGAAAUAUAAAUUUCCUUGAUUCUGGAUAAAAGCCCCAAUAAAAGAGGCACUUU
rnacentral:lncRNA from 1 species